UCGAGAGGUGAUUCAAGACGG
rnacentral:siRNA from 1 species